rnacentral:tRNA from 1 species
GGUGUAGUGGUCUAAUGGAUAAGUCUCCAGAUUGUUAACCUCAAGGUGCAGGGUUUAAAUCCCCGCUGCAUCC